GACUACCAGGGUAUCUAAGCCGGUUCGCUCCCCACGCUUUCGUGCCUCAGCGUCAGAAAUGGUCCAGUAGUCUGCCUACGCCAUUGGUGUUCCUUCUUAUAUCUACGGAUUUCACUCCUACACAAGAAAUUCCAACUACCUCUACCAUUCUCAAGCCUACCAGUUCGAGCAAUGUCUUGAUGGUUGAGCCACCAGAUUUCACUACUCGCUUAAUAAGCCGCCUACGCAACUCUUUACGCCCAGUCACUCCGGAUAACGCUUGGGUCCUACGUAUGACCGCGGCUGCUGGCACGUAGUUAGCCGACCCUUAUUCGUAUAUUACCGUCAUAUUCUUCGUAUACAAAAGCUGUUUACGACCCGAAGGCCUUCAUCCAGCACGCGGUGUUGCUCCAUCAGGCUUUCGCCCAUUGUGGAAGAUUCCUCACUGCUGCCCCCCGUAGG
rnacentral:rRNA from 1 species